AAUAGUUGGUGUGGCGCGCAAAGCCUCGGCUUGCUGAGCCGAAAGUCCCGGGUUCGAUUCCCGGUU
rfam:Habropoda laboriosa contig14175, whole genome shotgun sequence.